rnacentral:lncRNA from 1 species
AAGCUCAGCGAUCGAGGUGUGGGCCGCGCGGCGCGGAAUGGAAGCGCGGGGAGUGCUCGGCGGAAGCCCGGGGUGCAGCGGGAUCGCCGGCUGAGGCCCGGGGAGGUUUAUUCACCCCGAGUCCAGGCCCUCUCAGGAAGGAGCUGAAGACAGUGAGAGUUAAGAGUUUAUCUGGCCACGUAGGGUAACCAGAUGGCAAACUGGAGGAUUCAAAAAAGAGGAAAUAUCUGCGGCUGGCAAACAGACAGGAAAAUGCACACUUUGCUAAACCUGCUGUGACUUGGGGUGGCAUUUCAGGAGGGCAGCUUACAGUGUGAACUACAUGCUCCUCAUGACUCCGUUUCUAGGGUUUCGCUCUAAGGACACGGUGGAGGAUUUGUUCAAUCACAUUGGCAUUG